UGGGGAAUUUUGGACAAUGGGGGAAACCCUGAUCCAGCCAUCCCGCGUGUGCGAUGAAGGCCUUCGGGUUGUAAAGCACUUUUGGCAGGAAAGAAACGUCGCGGGUUAAUACCCCGCGAAACUGACGGUACCUGCAGAAUAAGCACCGGCUAACUACGUGCCAGCAGCCGCGGUAAUACGUAGGGUGCAAGCGUUAAUCGGAAUUACUGGGCGUAAAGCGUGCGCAGGCGGUUCGGAAAGAAAGAUGUGAAAUCCCAGAGCUUAACUUUGGAACUGCAUUUUUAACUACCGGGCUAGAGUGUGUCAGAGGGAGGUGGAAUUCCGCGUGUAGCAGUGAAAUGCGUAGAUAUGCGGAGGAACACCGAUGGCGAAGGCAGCCUCCUGGGAUAACACUGACGCUCAUGCACGAAAGCGUGGGGAGCAAACAGGAUUAGAUACCCUGGUAGUCCACGCCCUAAACGAUGUCAACUAGCUGUUGGGGCCUUCGGGCCUUGGUAGCGCAGCUAACGCGUGAAGUUGACCGCCUGGGGAGUACGGUCGCAAGAUUAAAAC
rnacentral:rRNA from 1 species